UGUAAUUAAAUUAGACACACAAGCUCUAAGAGUUUAAGAUUUAUUUCACUCUAACUACAAAGUUGGAGUCAGAGUUCAUGUUACACCCGUGUCUUGUGGGGCAAUAGACAGGAACUACUUGAACUAGAAAACAGUGUAAGAGUACCGGAGAAGGUGAAGAACUGGUGGUGAAUACUGGAGAUCCUAAAUAGUGGCCCGGAGGGAUGGGAUGAUUGGAGUCAGCUGGGUCCAAUCAGGACGGGGACACAAGAACCCGGGAGCUCCAUGACACUCACAAUAAAACUGUCAACCUAGCUACACAAAAAAGUCCAAAAAACAAAUAACCCCAAAACUAUGUACUACAAGAUAAAGAAAACUGGUUGCCAAUAAUAUCACAAGAUCCCAAUAAUCCCGGACAAGCCCCCAACAGGGAUUCUCUUGAAUUUCUGAUGAAAUAUUUACUUUCUGAUGAGGAAGGCUGAACCAGAUCAGCAGCUGUUCAUGAACUUUAACACAGAAAAUAUUCCUUUGUGUUAAAAAUUACCCAAUAAAUGAGAAUUCUUGCAAAGACAAAA